rnacentral:rRNA from 1 species
CUACGGGGUGCAGCAGUGGGGAAUAUUGCACAAUGGACGAAAGUCUGAUGCAGCAACGCCGCGUGGAGGAUGACACAUUUCGGUGCGUAAACUCCUUUUAUAUAGGAAGAUAAUGACGGUACUAUAUGAAUAAGCGCCGGCUAACUCCGUGCCAGCAGCCGCGGUAAUACGGAGGGCGCAAGCGUUACUCGGAAUCACUGGGCGUAAAGAGCGUGUAGGCGGAUAGAUAAGUCAGGAGUGAAAUCCUAUGGCUCAACCAUAGAACUGCUCUUGAAACUGUCUAUCUAGAAUAUGGGAGAGGUAGAUGGAAUUUCUGGUGUAGGGGUAAAAUCCGUAGAGAUCAGAAGGAAUACCGAUUGCGAAGGCGAUCUACUGGAACAUUAUUGACGCUGAGACGCGAAAGCGUGGGGAGCAAACAGGAUUAGAUACCCUUGUAGUC